rnacentral:rRNA from 1 species
ACGGGUGCGUAACGCGUAUGCAACCUACCUCAUACUGGAGGAUAGCCCCUGGAAACGGGGAUUAAUACUCCAUAGUAUCACAAUUUCGCAUGUUAUUGUGAUUAAAGUUUUUCGGUAUGAGAUGGGCAUGCGUCCCAUUAGCUUGUUGGUGAGGUAACGGCUCACCAAGGCAACGAUGGGUAGGGGGCCUGAGAGGGUGGUCCCCCACACUGGUACUGAGACACGGACCAGACUCCUACGGGAGGCAGCAGUGAGGAAUAUUGGUCAAUGGAGGAAACUCUGAUCCAGCCAUGCCGCGUGCAGGAUGACUGCCCUAUGGGUUGUAAACUGCUUUUAUAUAGGAAGAAACACUCCCACGUGUGGGGGCUUGACGGUACUAUAUGAAUAAGGAUCGGCUAACUCCGUGCCAGCAGCCGCGGUAAUACGGAGGAUCCAAGCGUUAUCCGGAAUCAUUGGGUUUAAAGGGUCCGCAGGCGGCCUGUUAAGUCAGAGGUGAAAUCCUACAGCUCAACUGUAGAACUGCCUUUGAUACUGAUAGGCUUGAGUUAUUGUGAAGUGGUUAGAAUGUGUGGUGUAGCGGUGAAAUGCUUAGAUAUCACACAGAAUACCCAUUGCGAAGGCAGAUCACUAACAAUAUACUGACGCUCAUGGACGAAAGCGUGGGGAGCGAACGGGAUUAGAUACCCCGGUAGUCCACGCCGUAAACGAUGGAUACUAACUGUUCGACCUUCGGGUUGAGUGGUCAAGCGAAAGUGAUAAGU